CUUGGCUGGCUGACGAUAAAAAGGAGCCAAGGCUGCAAGAAAGGGAGAACAGAACAGAACAGAACAGAAAUUGAAUCGACUCUUCCUCUCUCGUCUGCCCCCCUCUAUCCUCUGGUCUGGUUUCUCCUCGCGAUCUUCAUCUUCUUCAGGUCCGGUGCUACCACAAGCACCAUUGUAUCCAUCUCACGUCCCGGCAGUCGCUGGUGGCCACGGGAUAUGACACAUGGCUAUCCUCCCUGGGGAUAAGAGGACCGUGGUCACCACCACAUUGAGGUUGACGACCCAUGUGUGGCUGUGGUAGAGCCACAGUUCGUCAUGUACAGGAGCCCAAAGGUUUGGCUUGCAGUUGGCGAUAGGGUAGUGGCUGUUGAUGAGGAUGGUGUGCAGGUUCUAGGAGAGCACCCGGAGAUUGGACCUGUGCAGAAAAUGGUGGCGUCAACCAAGAGGAAGCUGCUUGCAGAGUUUUCACACAAUGGACGCCCCCAUGGAUUCCAGGAACAUUUUUUUAGCACAGGCGUGAUAGAGACAAGAACUGAUUGAUUUUAGUCUCUGAAUCAGACCAUUCACAAUGAUGCAAGAUUGUCCAUUGUUGCAAUCGUUCAUGGUGGUGGUGAACUGGUGAUAUAUAUCACAGCGGCAGUGCAGAUAUAGAGGACAUGGUUGCCGAGGCCACUGCCCAGCACACAAUCCUACAUCAAUGGUUCUGAACGGUAUGUUUUCUUUAAUUGUUUCACAGGUUGAAUUUUCAUAAUGAAAUUACUCAGCUCUGAUAUGACUAAAAAAGUUACAUUCUUUUUAGACCACAGGGGUUAACUUCAGAGUUUAUGAUGGUAUUAAUAAUCGUGCAUGUCCUAUGUAGUCCUAAAUGUACUUAUGACAUUACAUGGUGUACUAUGAAGGAGUCUUAAAAAUAGUAUGAUUUGGAGAAGGAUGCCAUAAUUUGGCCCUAUUUUUUGGUUUUUAGCCAAAAACUCAAAAAAUGCAUGUAAUUACUGAGGUGAAGAUUACACUUUCUGGCUCAAAUAUCAUUUAGAUUUAAUAGACUGGUUGCUGCCAUUAGUACUAACUAACUCAGAAGCGGAGACGUGGCAUAGAGGACUAUCUCUUCAAGAGAUGCAUAUGUUGGUAAAGUUGCAAGAGGUUGUGUGUUGCUGGAGUAAGAUUCUUUUGCAUACUCUCCAAGUUCUUUCAGUUCUCUUAUUUUUCUUCCUGAGUUUUAUAUAUGAGCCAAACCUGAAUCUAAUUAAACUACUUUGUUUUAAAGUUUGCUAGAGGGGCGUGUUUCAGAUAUAGAAGACACAUGCCUUUAUGUUCAUGUCAUCGUUUGGUUCUAUGUUAAUUUACAGAGAAUGCUUUCAACAUCAUUUUUUUCCCCUGCCAUUGCCAUAAGCCCGUAUCUCUAUCUCUACAAUACCUAAAAGAGAAGUCAGGUUCAGUGUUCCGCCUCCCACACCGUUUCACUCAUAUCUUCGUCAAGCAUAGUUUGUCGCCCACCAGGACAAUUGCUCCCGGAAAAAAUGGAGACGCCACAUCUGACCGCCAACCUGUUCAGCAGCUACCAGAGAGUUGCCGCAACACAUUGAACACACUGACAACGCUUGGUGGUAUUGAAGGCUCAAUUGCAUCAUUUACGGAUGCUAAUGCAACCCGUGUUGCCUAUCUUUGCAAACCCGGCAGCAGUUCUGAUUGGAUACUGUAUUGCUUGGCCAAGAGUAUCAGCUUGUACAGGUUUUACCACACACGAGAAACUUUUAUUAUUUCUAGAAAGUCAGUCAUUGAUUCACGUUCUCACAAAUUGCCGUAAUCACGCUCAGUGUUGUCCCGGUCCCCAUCAUUCUGCAAGCCGGCACCAUCAUCAGCUGGAGCUGAGAAAAGCAUGGUCUAGAGGCAUUGCCAAGCUCUAAGAUGGAGACGGAUGUUGUUUAAUCGAGUCAUGGCAUGUCUCCAGUUGGUCUCUACCUCGGUGGCCAUCAUCUGGUUAGGGGCAGCUUUUCUAUAGACAUACAGCUUGUAGUCUAGCCACUCCGGUGACCUAUUUGACAUAUCUGAAUAUAUGUAACAAGUUCUUCUAUGACUGCAUUUACAUUCAGGUGAUUUGGAGAUUUUGACUCCAAUCUGCUAGCACCUAUAAAUCUUGGUCUCCUCGGGGCUGUCGCAAGAAAUUGAAACAUGUGUCAAGAUCAGGGCAACAACAGCUAAAAGAGAUGCUCAACUUGCUUUAUAAGGA